rnacentral:lncRNA from 1 species
GGCGCAGGGGCCGGGAGCAAGUGCACGCCGCGCGGAGGACGAAGAGGCUGCACGCACAGCCGCUGCCGGGGGUCGGGGCCAAGUGCGCGCCUCGCCGAGGACGAAGAGGCUGGCGUGCCCGGUGGCUCGGCUAGCUCCCGGGUCCCGGCCCCGCCUGGAGGAUGGAGUUCCUCUCUUGUGGCCCAGGCUGGAGUGCAAUAGCACCAUCUCGGCUCACUGCAACCUCUGCCUCCCAGGUUCAAGUGAUUCUCCUGCCUUAGCCUCCUGAGUAGCUAGGAUUACAGGUGGCCAUCAUCGAAUCCACUGAGGGCGCAAAUAGAACAAAAAGGUGAAGAAAAGGUGAAUUCUCUCCUUUCUUGAGCUGGGACAUCCAACUUCUCAGACAUCAGAGCUCCUGGAGGCCUUCAGACUCCGAGACAUUACACCAUUGGCUCACCUGGUCCUCAGGUCUUUGGACUUGGAAUGAAUUACACCAUUGGCUUUCCAGGUCUUCCAGCUUGCAGAUGGCAGAUUGUGGGACUUUUCAGCCUCCAUAACUUUGUCAUCCAAUUCCCAUAAUAAAUCGCCUCUUAUAUCUGUAUCUGUUUGGUUCUGU